rnacentral:lncRNA from 1 species
AAACUUAAUAAAUUUAAAUAUAAAUAAAAAUAAUAAUUCUCUGUAAAACCGACGAUAAAAGGAAUGUUGAGUUGAGAGAGUAUAUAAUUAAACGUCUUUUCGAUGUACCAAAUCACUAACAUAUACAAUAACAUUUCAUCAACUAAAUUAAUUUGAAACACUAACAUAUCUAUAUAACAAAAAAUAUGAGAGAAAAGAGAUGAAAACGGGAACAAGAAACAUCAUUCUCUUUGGCAUAACAAUGAAAUUCUCUGGCUCUUCUUCAACUAUAGGUUCCAACUUUGAAAAUCUAGAAUAACAACAUUUUCUAGGGGUUACGAAAAGAGAAGGUGCAACCUCUCCACAAUUUUGGAUGCUUCUCCUUUCCAUCUUCACCAUCUUUCUUAUCAUACUUAAUAAUUAAUAUUGGUAGUAAUUAACCAACACCCUUUUCUUUCCUUGAUCUUGUUUUAAUCAAAGAAAGAAAGAUGAUGAAAUAGAAAAUGGUUUAGAGGAAUAGAAAAUGAACCAUGUAUUUAUAUAUAUUGAGGGAGGAUGAGAGUCAUUGGUUGAAAUUAGAGACAGCUCAUUGGUGCUUGGAUGUUGAAAGAGUCUUUGCUUGGAUUGAGAUAAUUAAUCAAUGACGUGUACUUCAUGACUUAGAAAGAAAAUGUUCUAGAUUUGGACAUUAAUACAUGAUGUGUACAAUUUGUUCUAGACUAAAUCAAGUUUUACUUUCACGCAUCUCUUUUUUAUUUUUUAUUUUAGGCGUCAUUAAAGAUUUUUUUAAAAUAAUUAAUAUUUUUAAAUAAAAUAUUAAAAUAAUCAGAAUUUCAAAAAAUAUAUUAAAAUAAUUAUUUUUUUAACUGAUGCGUCAGAUGAACCGACGCAUCCAAUUAAUCUAAAGAGGAGGCGUCAUUGGAGCUGGCGCAUUCUUUCAAUGGCUUUGCACCUAGGCGCCAUGCCUUUUGGCGUAUGCAUGUGUGGUGUCACAUGCAUUGGCGCAUGCAUACACUACAUAGUAUAUGCGCCAAUGCAUGUGGCGCACGCACCUUUAAUAUAUAUAUAUUUUAAUUUUAAAUGUUAAUUUUAUAAUUAAUUAAAAAAUUAUUGAAAAUAAAAAUUACAUUUAUAUUAUAAUAAAAAAUUAUAUGGAAUUGACAAGAAAUUUAAUGAUCCGUCUGAUUGAAACGCCCCCCUGUUCCACAUCCAGGUGCGUUAGUCUGUCUUCAAUGUCUCCCACGAUUUUUCUGAGGAGUUUGGGGUCUUUGAGUGUUGACAUUAUCCGAUGGUGGCUGAUGUGAAGGUCCGGUGGAAGGUCCAUCGAUAUUUGAUAUAUGUGUCAUCAUUUGUUCCCAAUAGCUGGGGGGUUUUCGCCAAUGGUACUUCCGUAAUUGAGUUUGAUGUUCAUGUUGUCGUAGUUGGGUCGUUGUGGUUGGGUGAAUUGUGGACGGUAUGGUUGCCUGAAUUGGGACAUUGAGUCGGUUUGGAAAUAAAUCAAUGGUUCAUGGGGUGUAAUAUAGUCAAACAAUGGUUGGGUGUUGUGGCGAUGGGAUGUUUGGGUGAUCAUUGGUGGGGGGCUAUGAUGGCAUGAAUUGUAUGAAUCAUCUGAACUAUAGACUGUUGUGGUGGUUGCGUAUGGUUGUUAGUGGGUAGGCUUUGAUUUUUGGUUUUGAGGUUGGGUGUGUGGCAUUAAUGGAUUGCGAGGUUGGAUGUUUGGUUAUUGGGUGUAUAUGGUAGGGUGAUGGUGUGAGGUUGGUCGUUGGGUUUGGGUGGGUUAACAUUGUUCUUGGACGAGGAUUUGUUGUUGGGUGUAUGAUGACGAAGCUAGUUGCCGUGGAUCAAUCAAAUACAUUGGCUCAGACACAAAUUGUGGCGCUGUAACCGACCUAAACCAUGUCAUAUACUAUUGAGUUGGUCCAUCACCAUGUAUGACUGAUUCGUUUAAGAUGUGUUGUCAUCGAUUCCUCCAAUGACGACACAUCUCUUUUGCGAAGUCUCUCCGGUCGGAAUAAUCCCAUUGGACACCGACUAUUUGUUGAUGCCAAUCUCCCAAACACGUCGGAGGUUCUGGAAUUUGUUGUUGCAUGUCGAACUGCAGUUUUACCCGGUCACUCUGGUGCAUCUCCACAGUAUUGAACCGGAUAAUUGGUGUUUUGUUGUCCAAACUGCCUCAUCAUCAUGGUUAACUUGAUGAUCAAGACCCAGAUAUGACCUCUAGAUAAACUGUACAAGAAUAUGACAUGAUUAGAUGAUAUAUAAUUUAAUAAUUAUUUUUAAAUCAAAAGUAGAGUUAUAUAGGAGUAUUACAUCGUUUGGUCCAAUGUGGUCCAAUAGAUUGUGAUAGACUACUAUAACAUGUUUCGGAAACCUGUUGUAGUUCAUCCCUCAAACUGACCACCUAGAUCAAAAACAUUUGAAAAAUAUUAUUUACAGUUAGUUGUAAUAUAAAGUCUAAUAAAUUAGAUGGUAAAGUUUUAAACUUACUUUGUUGCAAAGGGGAAUAUGAAUGACUUCUCGUUUACCGGGGCGAGUGACAAUAUUCUUGACUAACCUCAUGCUUGUAGCAAAUAUGCGCAUGAAUAAAAUGUAAAAGUAUUUUUUUUGCAUUUUUACACAACGCACUAUAUAGAUGGGCAAAAACAGCUGAACCCCGACUAUAUGUGCUUACUAAAGAUUAGUACAGUGUUGUUGAGUCCAUGGAUCACAAUGAAGGCAUGUCGAUGGAUAAUACAGAGUGGAAAUAGAUAGAGGUUGGUGCGACUGCGGAAAAUUCCAAGCCUUUUGUAUGCCCUGCUCCCAUGUCAUUGUGGCAUGUUCAAAGGUUAGAAGUGAUCCAUCCUACUUACUAUCUAAGGUUUACAAAGUCAUAAGCCUAUCCAAUGUUUACAAAAUUAGUUUUUCUGUUGUUGCAAAAUAGGAUUACUGACCUGAAUAUAAAUGGAUAUUCUCUGGCAUAAUGAAGUUAUGCGAAGAAAGAAAAAAGGUCGCCCAAACAGCACACGCAUUCGAACCGAAAUGGAUACGACAAAUAAAAUGGUCUGAUUAUGUAGUUAAUGUCGUCAGCCCGACCACAAUCGUACUAACUGUCACAGUGUUGAAACAAACACAACAAGAUAAUUUUACAUGUACCUCUUUUGCUUUAUAUUAAAAACAAUAUUUAUUUCAUAUGAUAACUUUGUGAGGAAAUACCAUCACAAACAAAUACAACACAUUCCACACACUAGCAGCACAGAAACAACAACACAACAGACUACAACAAAUAAAAUACCAUUACUAUAACAUCAAUUACAACCAUCAAAACAAUUUUGAACAUAUUAUACAUCAUCCUAUGAACGUCUCUGUCAGUCUUAAAAUCCACUCAUUCACGCACUUCACCAUUUUGGUUGAACGUGGACUCAAGCCAUUGAAUUCUUUUAAUCCUUUCACCAUAUGCAAUUUCUCCAUCUAACCAACGGUUCAACGUCCUAUUAAGACGUUUAAACGAAUCUAUAUUCCAAAGUCGAAUCUUUAUUGGAAGUGCGACUGCUGAAAAUGUUAAAUCAGUAUUUCUCUUGUGAAUGUAUUCAGACAUGGUUAAAGAACAAAAAAUUGAAGGAGAUUGAAGUAGAAUGAAAGAAAAUGGGGUUGGAGGGGAAGAAGUAGUCUACAAAAAUAUGGGAGAUGCGCAUGUUAUUUAUAGAUGAACCAUGAAAUGCAUGUGCCAAAGCCCUGAGCGCCACACAUACAUGGAAAUGCAUGCGCCAGAUGCAUGGGUGCACACACUAAUCCACAUAUGCAUGCACCAAGAGGCAUGACGCCUAGGUGCAAAACCAUUGGGAGUAUGCACCAGCUCCAAUGGCGCCUCCUCUCUAGGUUAAUUGGAUGUGUCAGUUCAACUGGCGCAUCAGUUAAAAAAGAUGGUUAUUUUGGUAUAUUUUUUAAAAAUUUGAUUAUUUUCGCAUUUUAUUUGAAAAUGUUGGUUAUUUUAAAAAUAAGCGUCACUGACAUAUUUUGUUUCAUCUUAAAAAAAUACUUUUAUUAAAAAUGUAUCUUUAAUUUCAUUAUUUCCAAAUUAUAAAUGGAAUGGAUAUUCUUUUUAAAUAUUUAUUGUUUUUUUAUAAUCAAAGAGAAUUGUAUUGAAUAUAAUACAAGGGAUACUUUUGUCCUUACAAAUUACAUCAACCAAUAUCUAUAAUCGACAUACAGUUGAAUAAUACACGACAUUGAAACCAAUUAUAAAAUGAUACAGGAUUAUGGCCUUUCAACCCUAUGCUUUGCCAAAUCCAUUAUGAAAUUUUAAUGUUGAUAACUAAGUCUUCUAAAAUACAAAACUUGUCAUUGAAUAAUAUGUCAUUCCUCAUUCUCCUUAUGCUCCAUAGUGCUGCAAGACAACAACCAUUAUUCUUCUUCUUCAUCAUCAUAUCCUGCAAGCCUUAGAGAACAAGUUGUAACGAUUCAAAAUUGAAGUCUCCUAUAACUCAUCCACUUUCAACUAUUGAUAAAUUCUUCUCAACACCUUUCUACUAAUCCUUAUUGAAAUAACAAGUGGUACAAGUUUUCCUCGUUAAGACAUAAAACACAAGUGUUCUCAUGAGCAUUUUGUAUAAUUCCCCUUUCUUGCAAACUGAUCUAAUUGUAGGCAUUUUAUUUAGCAUCACCUUCUAGCUAAACACUUUUAAUUUUGAUGGUGUACUUGUUUUCCAUAUUCUUCUUAUGACCCAUUUUUUCUCUUCCACCAUAUCAUGUUGUAAUUCCUUUUCUCUUAGUUUCUGGUAACAGCUUUUGACACUAAAAAUUUCAUCUUUAUUGACACUCAGCAUAACUCUAUCUUGCUUAUGCUUAUAUGUUUUUAUAUGUGACAAAAUUUAUGUAUGAUCCUUCAAUUGACUUACUGCUUCGUCAUUCUCAAUGGCCAAUUGAUCAUCACUGCUAUGGAAAUCCCAUCUCCAUACACCUUGAAUCAUCCUUCCCAUUUCACUAACCUUUCCUCCUGGUUUCUCUGUCACAGAAUAUGAUAAGACAGCUUCAAUGGUUUAUCACCAAUCCACCUGCCUUUCCAGAAUGGUGUCAAUUCUUCUGAUCUCGCCUUGAAUUCCAUAUUUCCUGUAAAACAAACAAUGUCAUCUUCUCUAUUCAGGCCAACAUUUUUAUUGUCUUUCCACCAUAUGGAUGCUUUCAUUCUUCUGUUUGGCUCCAUGCAUCUUAACAUUUGCUAUUGAAGGUCCUCAUAUCUAGUAUUGAGAAUGUUUUUCCAAAUUGGUUUAUCUUCUUUAUUAUUCUCCAUUUCCACUUGCAUAACAAUACAUCGCUAUAACCUCCUAUAUUAAUGUCAAUUGUCAUUAUUAUUGUUUAAUCAAUUAAUCAUCACCUCUCUUAUAACCACCACCUCUCCUACAACCACACCCAACUAAUAUUAAAAGUAAAAGAAAUUCUAGAGAUCCCGUGAUGAUGAUCAAGUUAGUAAAUGCUUGAAACAUCGGUAUUAGGCUGUUGAUCGAUUUUUGCUUACAAAGUUGUGAGUUUUAUGGUGAAAAUGCUAUGAAAUUUAAGACUUAUGUGGCAUUACUUGGUUUAAGCAAAGUGAGCAUUUUGUUAGAUGAUUGGAGCCAGGUUGAUGCUGACUUGAAAAACAAUAUAUGGACUGAUCUUAGGAUAUUUAUUUUAACUUUCAUGAUUUUUUUACAAGUAUAUAUGACUAUUUUUUUUAAUACUAAUAUAAACUUUAUUAUGUAAAUGUAUAACAUUUUUAUUCUUCCAAAAGAUGAUAAACUAAUAAAUAAAUGAAUAUCAUAUGCUGGUGAGUGUUGGAAGGACUUUAAGACACAAUUCGCAAUACAAUAUAUUACAAAUCCAAAGAGUAGCGACUUAAAACCUUCAUAUGUGAGUUAUGGUUUUAUUGAUAAUGACAAUUGGGAGAGUUUUGUCGAGUCUCGCACCACUCCUGAGUUCCGGGCUAAGAGUCAAAAAGAAAAUGAGAAUAGGGAAACAAAUAUCUAACCUCGUAAAGUGUCUCAUGGAUGAUAUAAUAAAGUGGUGGGGAUGUGAAAUUGAAGAUAGAAUGUGAUGAAAUGAAGAAUAGGAAAGGAAUUGAUAGGAAAUGAAGAAUGAAACUGAGUCUGAGCAUGAGAGAGAAAAGUGGAAUUUAUAUAGCUAAUUUAACGACAUGAAUUUCACAUCGCAACCUUGUCACGUGAUAUUCACGUCGCAACUCCCCAACGGUCAUAUGAAUGUGUCAGUCAAACGUCCCUCGUCAAGCCAACGUCUUUUUUUAGUUUUUGAAUUUAAAGUUGUGACGUGAUUUUCACGUCACAACUCAAAGUUUAAAAAUUUUCAAAUCUCCCUAUUGAGAAAAAAGUUGCGGAAGCUUCGACAAAUAAGGAACAGUAAAGUUAAUAUUGAGGACACAGAAUUUAACGAGGUUCGGCAAAUUGCCUACGUCCUCAAGGUGAAGCACUCUUUUAUAUAUGAAGGAUAAUAUCCGACAACUUGUACAGACCACAAGCUUGUCGUAGAAAAGAAUAUAUUCUCACAAAGAAAUAUAAACCUCUCUUUGUGUUUAAUAUCCUCUCUCAAAGAUGAACAAUCUAUCCUUUGUGUUUUGUGUUUAGAAGGUGAUUUGAUGAUCUUUCUCUUCCUCCCUUUUCUCUCUUAUAUAGAAAAUAUCCCAUAUAUCAAUUACCAAUGAAUAAAUAGAAAACUCCUCCUAUUUUUAUGUUGCUCUUUUCACCGAUGAUGAAUAAGAGAUAUUUCUCUUUUCUUGGCUUCCUAUUCUUAACCAUGAAUUAUGCUCACAAUUCUCCACCUCGUACAUAAUUUGAAAGACCUCAAAUUUUGGACGAAUAAUGAGAACAUUCUAUGGCAUCCAAAACAAUUAUCAUCAUCUGGGCUGCAUCAUUAUACACAUGACUGCCUACGUACCCUUUGAUCGGGAUCAAGCCAAUCGUAGUUCUACUUGUCCUCCAUAUAGUCUCCACCUCACCCAAAAAACCGCCCCGAAGGGCCAUGCCCUUAUUGGGCAAACUAACAUGGGCCAAUCUGAAGUAAUGUCCAGCAGUACUGAAAUUUACUACCUGAAACAACUUUAGUUAACAUGUCGGCAGGAUUGUCAGUUGUGUGUACCUUCAUAAGAGGAAUGUCACCAUCCUCUAUGACAUCUCGAAAAAAAUGAUAUCUAACAUCAAUAUGCUUAGUACGAGCAUGAUGGACCUGAUUUUUAGCCAAGUGAAUCGCACUCUGAUUGUCACACCAUAGAUCCACACUAUCCUGCUUCAUUCCCAAGUCAUACAUAAGACCUUUCAACCAUAAUGCUUCUUUUACUCCCUCUGCCCUAGCCAUAUAUUCUGACUAUGUUGUUGAGAGUGCAACUGUAGCUUUCAGCAUUGAUCUCCAACUUAUUGGAGAACCAUAUAUCUUGAAAACAUAACCAGUAGUAGAUCUUCUUUUAUCUAUAUCACUUGCAUAGUCCGAGUCCACAAAACCGCUUACUUGACAUGUAUUUCCAAAGAUCUUCUUUUAUCUAUAUCACUUGCAUAGUCCGAGUCCACAAAACCGCUUACUUGACAUGUAUUUCCACCAAAGCAUAGUCCGAUAUUUGUAGUACCCUUCAAGUACCUCAAUAACCAUUUUACUACUUCCCAAUGUGCCUUACCAGGAUUUGCCAUGAACCUACUGACAACACUGACUUCUUGUGAAAUAUCUGGACGUGUACACACCAUAGCGUACAUCAAACUUCCUACUGCACUUGCAUAAGGUACACCAUUCACGUGUUCCUUUUCUUGUGCUGUAAUCAGAGAUUGCUUACUAGAGAGUUUGAAAUGUUGUGCCAAUGGAGUUGCCACCGACUUAUCAUUUUUCAUACCGAAUCGAUUGAUAACCUUCUCAAGAUAUCCUUUCUGACUCAAGAACAAUCGAUAACUUUUCCGUUCUCUUCUUAUCUCCAUACCCAGUAUUUUUCUAGCAGCGCCUAUGUCCUUCAUAUCAAACUCUUUACCAAGUUCGACCUUCAAAUUAUUUAUCUCCAACAUGCUUCUUGAAGAAAUAAGCAUGUCAUCCACAUACAAUAAGAGAUAAAUAAAUUCACCUCCAAGAAGCUUAUGAAUGUAGACACAACAAUCAUAAUCACUUCUAGAGAAACCAUGCUUUAGCAUAAAAGAAUCAAAUCGCUUGUACCACUGUCGAGGGGAUUAUUUCAAUCCAUAUAAGGAUUUCCUCAAGCGACAUACCUGACUCUCUUUUCCCUCUACUUUGUAUCCUUCAGGUUGAUACAUGUAAAUUUCCUCAUCUAAAUCUCCGUGUAAGAAGGUUGUUUUGACAUCGAGUUGUUCCAACUCAAGAUCAUCAUGAGCGAUAAUGCUCAUAAGCACCCGAAUAGAAGUAUGCUUUACCACCAGAGAAAAUAUCUCAUUGUAGUCUACACCUUCUUUUUGUGCAAAACCUUUAGCCACUAAUCUUGCCUUAUAUCUUGUACCACCGAGCUCAGAUGAAUUUGCUUUUCUUUUAUACACCCACUUACAACCAAUAGCAGUCUUUCCCUUAGGCAAUGGAACUACCUCUUAUUUCUUGUUCUUAUACAGAGAUUCCAUCUCUUCCUCCAUAGCAACCAACCAUCUCUCCCUAUCAACAUCUUUGAUAGCUUGUUUGAAGGUGACCGGCUCAUCAUCCUCCAUCGAGAGAGCAUAUUCUAACAAGUUUACCUGCCCAUAAUGUUUCAGAGGCUCAUCGGAUUCAUACCUCUAAACUGGUUUAUAACCCCGCCUUGACCUAGUGGAAGCCAAGGUCUCUUGCUGCUGUUGUUGUAGCACUUGUGCAUUUUCCUGCUGGACCUCCUCACAUUCAAGAUCAUCAUAUUCUUCACAAUGUUUGUUCAUCAUGAGCCUCUUGAUCAUGAGUAGAAUCUGGUUGGUCUUCAGAUUCUUCUAUCUCAACUACUUGAAUGUGUCAACUUUUAAACAUCACCACCUUUGAUACAUCCGCUUUUGUAAACAACCAUGGAGUUCUCAUCAAAAGUAACAUCUCUGCUGGAUUACAAACUUAGAAUCCUCUAAAGACCAAAGUCGAUAGCCCUUGACUCCUCUUGCAUAUCCCAAGAAAAUUGCCUUCUUGGCCCUAUUAUCAAGCUUGUUAUCUUUGACAUGAUAAUAAGAAAUGCAACCAAACACUCUAAGUCUUCCAUAAUCUGCAUGUUCUCCUGACCACACCUUAAAAGGAGUGUCUCCAUCCAAUGUCGAAUGUGGAGAUCGGUUCACAAUAUAAGCAGUUGUGGCAACCGACUCAGCCCACCAUUCACGACCCAACCCAGAAUUGGAGCGCAUACAUCUAACCUUCUCAAGUAGUGUACGAUUCAGCCUUUCUACAACUCCAUUCUAUUGUGGUGUGUCUCUAACUGUCCAAUGUCGAACAAUGCCUUAUUCAUCACAAAACUUCUUGAAAGCACCAUCUGUGUACUCUGUGCCAUUAUCAGACCUCAAAGUUUUUAGCUUUCUACAACAAGACAAGAGUUGGUAACGAGAGGUAACGAAUUUACAGACAAACACUUCAUUCUUAUGCUUAAGAAAAUACACCCAAGCAUAUCUUGAAUAAUCAUCUACAAACGAGACAAAGUACAUGGAACCCCCUUUCGAAGAAACUUUAGCCGGACCCCAAACAUCUGUAUGCACGUAGUCUAGUAUUCCUCUGCUUUUAUGGUUACUCGUUGAAAAUGAAACCCUGUGUGCUUUUCCAUACACACAAUGCUCACAAAUUUCCAUGCAAGGCUUCUUCAUAUACUUCAACAAUCCCUUCUUACCAAGCAAAUUUAGACCCUUCUCUGACAUAUGUCCAAGGCGCAUAUGUCAAAGCCUAGUAUACUCUGUUUGAUUUUUCUUGCUUCCAGUUGUUCCAACCGCUACGUCACCUGUAGCUAUACUGCCAACAAGAUGGUACAAAUUUCUUUGGCGAAUCCCCUUCGUCACCAGCAAAGAACCACUAACAACUUUUAGAAUCCCGUUCUCGCCAAUUAGCUUGCAACCUUUUGAUUCUAAGACACCAAGAGAGAUAAGAUUCUUUCUCAAAUCAGGGACAUGCCUUACAUCCAUAUUUUGAUUCUAAGACACCAAGAGAGAUAAGAUUCUUUCUCAAAUCAGGGACAUGCCUUACAUCCAUUAGUGUUCUGACAAUUCCAUCAUGCAUCUUGAUUCUGAUUGUACCGAUACCCACCGUCUCAGAGCCAUGGUCGUUUCCCAUCAAAACGGUUCCACCAUUUAUAGCCUUAUAGGAAGUGAACCACUUCCUGUUUGGGCACAUAUGAUAAGAGCAUCCUAUAUCCAGAAUCCAACUACUUGAAUAUUCAGAUGUAAUGGAAUAACAUUCUCCGUCCCACUCACCUGAAGCUACACUAGCUUCGUGCUUCACAUCUUGAUCUCCCUUAUUCUUGUUGUUUUUGUCCUUCCAUUGUACCCUCUUAUUACGACAAUCCUUCUUCCAAUGCCCAACCUCACCACACUUGUAACAACGAGUUUCCGCUAGAGAUCUAGAUUUUGAUCUAAACUUUCCCCUCUUGCUAUUUCCUCGAUCAUUACCUCGUCCUCUUGCAAACAAACCUUGUGCUUGUUCAUUGCUCCCACUUGUCAUGUUACUAGUUGCCACCUUCCGCAAAUCAUCCGCUAAAAGUGCAGUUCUAGUUUCAUCCAUGGUUAAUGUAUCACCCAUAAGCAUUAAUGUUUGAACAAGAUUCUCAUAUGAUUUCGGCAAAGAAAGCAAAAGCAUAAGAGCUGGAUCUUCAUCUUCAACCUUCACAUCAAUAUCCUUCAAAUUUGAAAUUAUCCUAUCAAAUUUGUUGAUGUGAUCACAGAGUGAAAUACCUUCGUCCAUCUUGCAAGUAUAUAACUGUGACUUGAUAUAAAUUCUAUUUGUUAGGGUCUUCGUCAUGAAGUUCGCCUCCAACUUUUUCCACACACCCGAUGCGGUUCCCUCAUCAUCCACCAUAAAUGCAACAUCUCUUUCAAGACAUAAUAUUAUGGCAGCGCGUGCUUCCAUAUCAAGCUCUUCCCAGUCACUAUCCUUCAUAUCUACGGGUUUCUUAUCCUUACCCAACAACGCCUUGUGUAACUUUUGAGAUAUUAGCAAAAAUUUUAUUUGCAUCCUCCAAUAGGAAAAAUCAUUUUUCCCAUUGAACUUCUCAAUCUCAUAUUUCCCAACUUUAACGGUUCCAGUAGUAGAAGUCAUUAUCUUCUAUAACCAAAAAAAAAUAAUAAAGUUUUACCACUCUAUAAUUUUACAAUUGGCUCUGAUACCAAUUGUUGAGAAAAAAGUUGCGGAAGCUUCGACAAAUAAGGAACAGUAAAGUUAAUAUGAGACACAGGAAUUUAACGAGGUUCGGCAAAUUGCCUACGUCCUCAAGGUGAAGCACUCUUUAUUAUAUGAAGGAGUAAUAUCCGACAACUUGUACAGACCACAAGCUUGUCGUAGAAAAGAAUAUAUUCUCACAAAGAAAUAUAAACCUCUCUUUGUGUUUAAUAUCCUCUCUCAAAGAUGAACAAUCUAUCCUUUGUGUUUUGUGUUUAGAAGGUGAUUUGAUGAUCUUUCUCUUCCUCCCUUUUCUCUCUUAUAUAGAAAAUAUCCCAUAUAUCAAUUACCAAUGAAUAAAUAGAAAACUCCUCCUAUUUUGAUGUUGCUCUUUUCAUCGAUGAUGAAUAAGAGAUAUUCCUCUUUUCUUGGCUUCCUAUUCUUAACCAUGAAUUAUGCUCACACUCCCCUCACCUGCUAACUGUGCACGUCGGACUUCUUUUUCUUAAUUUAUUGUACUUUUAAAGUUACGACAUAAUUAUCACAUCACAACAUGUUGGUUAAAAUUUUCAUUUGUCUUUACCAUGUGCUUCUCUAUACACGCCUGAUAAUAUUUACUUUUUAAUUUUAUUUUUAAAGUUGCAACGUGAUUAACACGUCAUAACAUUUUGUUUAAUUUUUUUUUUUUAUGUUUUUCCCAUGUGCAUGCAGCAGUGUCAAUUUUUUAAUAAUAAAAACAUGUUGCCACGUGAUAUUCACGUCGCAACUCCCUUUUUUUGCCACGUGAUUUUCACUUCAAUAUAUCACGUGGCUGGAGACAAUUUUUCUUAUAGUGGCACGAGUGCCACUCUUAACAUGUCGAUAUUAGAUUAAGUAUGGAACCACAUUGUCUCGUAAAUGUCAAUAUUAGAGUUAAUAUGCAUUUGAAGCCGCUCUUUUUUAGAUUUAGGAUAGAAACUUCUCAUUUCAUAAACAUGGAGACACUGAACAUAUCCUCAGUCUCUUCCCCGUCUUAAAUACCAUAAUAUUUUUAAAUUAUAAUUUUUUUAGAUAUUCUUUUAUUAAAAAUAAUGGUUAAUAAAUAUAAAUUGUUUAUAUAUUUUUACAUUAAAAAUAUUUUUUUUAAUACAUUAAUAUCAAAUAUUAUUUAUUAUUUUAAACUUUUCAUUUUCAUAAGUAUUUUCGAUUUCUCGUGUUUAAAUUAACUUAUAUCUUAAAGACUUAUUUUUUUAAUACUAAUUUUUUCUUUCGAAAACAAAUGUAUAUUUUUUAAUUUAUGUAUUCAUAACACAUAACUGACACUUGAAAAUAAUAAUUUUUUUUAAUAACUAAUAAAAUCAAUAUAUUUAAAAAACACAAUGAAAUUUUUUAUUGAUUUAAAAUAUUAUAAAUACAUUAAUACUUUUUGUAAUGAUCUUAAAUAAUUUUAUUAAUUAUUUAAAAAUAUUAAAUAAGAGGUUGUUAAUAUAGGGUUCUUGAUAAGAGGUUGUUGUUUGAAGAGCAGUAGUGGAGGCAACUUGUUGUGGGGAUUCAACCUAUUGUUCAGUGGCGUUCAUCUCUUGAGAGAACUCGAAGACUUGUUAUUCUUGAGCAUUCAUGAUGAAGUUGAAGAGAAGGAUGAAGAGAAGUUGCAGAGAAGAGUUGGAGGUUUAGUUUUGUGUAGGUAGUGAAGAGUGAAAGUGGGAAAGUGGGAGUCGUGGGAGUAUAUAAACAAAAAUAAAAUAUUGCAAAAACAAACGGUAACUUGAGAAGUAACACAAAAUUAAUUGUUGCUAAAAUCGAGUUUUGACAAUCAUGGGAAAAAUUAAAUGCAGCUAAUGAUGAGAUUCUAAUCUCAAGAUUUGCACAUUUUUCAAUGGGAUCUCAACAGUUUUGCCCUUGAGUUCUGAGCUAGACAGGUGUCUAGAAGAGUCAAAGCUACACGUUUGAGAGACCACAUGUUGAUGUAUCUGGAGUCAAGAAUACCAAAAGGUUUAUGACUAGAGAAGUUUAUGAUAAAGAUAUCUUCUAACUUGUAGAAGUGCCAGAACUAGAAUCAGAUAAACAUCAUAUGCUUGAAUCAGAGUCUAAUUUUACGUUAGAGAUGAGAAGUACAGGUUCAGAGUCAUUCUGGGUAAUCUGCCAUAUUUAAAAUUUUCAGAAUAAAAAGAAAUCUAUCUUCAGCUAAGGGUUUUGUAAAGCUAUCAUGCAAUUGAUGGUUUGUAUCUAUAAAUUUUAAAACAAUUGUCCAUUUCUGAACAUAAUCUUUAAUAAAGUGGUGUUUAAUUUCUAUGUGCUUCGCUCUAGAAUGUAAAAUUGGAUUCUUACUUAAGCAAAUAGCAGUAGUAUUGUCACAAAAGAUAAGAAUGUUACUCUCAUAUAUCUGAAAGUCCUUAAGUUGAUUCUUCAUCCAGAGCAUCUGAGUGCUGCAAAGUGAAGCUGAGAUAUAUUAUGCUUCUGCUGUUGACAGUGCAAUGGUUUAUUGUCUUUUGCUUGCCCAUGAGAUGAGGUUUCCUCCCAGAAACUGACAGUUACCAGAUAUGCUUUUGCAUUCUAAUCUAUCUCAGUAUAAUCUGCAUCACAAUACCCAGAAAACUUGUACUCUGGUGUUUUCUAAUACAUCAAGCCAAGAGUAGGUGUUCCUUUCAGAUACCUAAGGAUUCUCUUAACAGCAGUUAAGUGAGAUUCCCUUGGAUCUGACUGAAAUCUAGCACACAGAUAGGGAUGACAAUUUGACCCAUCCUCAAUGGGAACCCGCAAAUUUACCCAUAGCGGAUAGGGUAAAAACUUGCAAAAAUGGAUACGGGCAUGGGCUCGGGUAAUUACCCAUAAAAAAAGCGGGUACGAGUGCGGGUAUGGACACCUUGGUACCCAACCCGCCCCAUACCCGCACACUAUAUAUUUAUGUAUUUUCACUUUUACUUAUAUAUUUUAGUUUAUAUUAUUAUAUUAAAAUAUAUGUCUAUCAAUUAUAAAACGUAUAUCAAUGUUAAUCCAUUACAUAUUUAAUAUAAGUGUUCGUUUAUUUUAAUAAUAAAUUGUUUGACAUUUUUUUAAUCUUUCUAAAAACUUAAAAUUAUAUGAUAUUUUAUAAUUGAUCUAUUUAUUUUUAAUAGGAAUGUGGGUCAAGGGUACGAGUAUGAGUACUUGCAUACCCAUAGGGCACGAGUACGGGUGCUAACUUUGACACCCAAGCGAAUAUGGGCUCGGGCACGAGGAUUUUUUCAAAUUGCGGGGAUGGGGAUGGGUAUUAUAGUACCCUGACCAUUGUCAUCCCUACACGCAGACAUACGCUGAAUAAUAUAUCAGGACGAGACACAAUCAGAUAAAGGAGAGAGCCUAUCAUACCACGAUAGAGUUUCUAAAAAACCUUUUGACUUAUCUCUUCCUUCUCCAGAAUGCAUCGAGUCUUAGCUGACUUGCUUUCUGACAUGUCAAAUUUCUUCAGAAGACUUUUUAUGUAUUUUCUUUGAUAGACAUGUGUGGCUUCUGAUGUUUGAUUGAUUUGAAUUCCCAGAAAGAACUUUAGUUCUUGCAUUAAGCUCAUCUCAAGUUCUGCCUGCAUUAACUCAAAAAAUUCUUGGCAAACUGAGGGGUUAGCAUAACCAAAUAUUAUAUCAUUAACAUAAAUCUGACAAAUCAUAAGAUCGUUUUUGAUGUUUUUGCAAAAGAGAGUAGAGUCCACUUUGCCUCUGAUAAAAUCAUUUUCCAGAAGAAAUGAACUAAGUCUUUCAUACCAAGCUCUAGGAGCUUGUUUCAGAUGGUAAAGAGAUUUCUUAAGUUUAAAAACAUGUUCUAGAAUUUUUGAAUUUUCAAAGCCAAGAGGUUGAUGGACAUACACUUCUUCAGAAAUGUAACCAUUCAAAAAUGCACUUUUGACGUCCAUUUGAUAUAAUUUAAUAGAAUAAUUUACAACAAAAGAUAGAAGGAGACAAAUAGAUUCCAACCUCGCGACUGGAGCAAAGGUUCCAUUGUAGUCAAUUCCUUCUUGUUGACUAUAACCAUGUGCCACCAGCCGUGCUUUGUUCCUGACGACUUCACCCUUUUCAUUUAGCUUGUUUCUGUAAACCCAUUUAGUUCCAAUCACAUGGGUUCCCUUGGGUCUUGGUACAAGAUCCCAAACGUCAUUUCUGGAAAACUGAUCAAGUUCUUCUUUCAUUGCCAAAAUCCAUUCUUUAUCUUGAAGAGCUUAUUCAUAGGAUGUUGGCUCUAUCAGAGAUACUAGUCACAAAAGUGUUUCUUCAGAAACUUUGAAUGUUGAUCUUAUUCUGACAAGUUCAUCCUUGUUUCCCAGAAUUAGUUCUUCAGAAACAUUAUGCCUAUUUCUUUGUCUUUUCUGAGUGAUUGUGCGUUCAUGUGCUUCUAACAUUCCUCUUUCUGCUUCUUCAUAACCUUUGGUCUUUUCGCCAGAACCUGCAAGUGUGAUCUCCGGAUCUGCAAAUUUCCCAACUAGCUUUGACUUUUCAGAGUCAAGCUUAUCGUCAAAUCUGACAUGAAUUGAUUCCUCCAUAAUUUCUAUUUCUGUGUUGUAUACUCGAUAUCCUUUAGAACGUCCUGAGUAUGCCAACAUAAUACACUUUUAUGCCUUAGAGUCAAACUUGUUCAGAUUGUCUUUAGUGUUCAAAAUAAAACAAGAGCAUCCAAAAUGAUGAAAAUAAGCAAUGUUGGGUUUUCUUCCCUUGCACAGUUCAUAAGGAGUCUUCUCCAAAAUAGGUCUGAUAGAGAUUCUAUUCUGAAUAUAACAUAUUGUAUUCACAACUUCUGCCCAGAAGUGCUUAGCCACAUUAGUCUCAUUGAUCAUGGUUCUGGCCAUUUCUUGGAGAGUCAUAUUCUUCCUUUCUACAACUCCAUUUUGUUGUGGAGUUCUAGGACAAGAGAAAUCAUGGGAUAUUCCAUUAGAGUCAAAAAUUUCUUCAAAAGGUUUGUUUUCAAAUUCGCCACCAUGAUCACGUCUGACUCUGAUAAUCUUAGAGUCAUAUUCAUUUUGCACUUUUGAACAGAAACUGGUGAACAUAGAAUGUGACUCUUUCUCGUGCCUUAAUAAUUUCACCCAUGUCCAAGGACUGUAGUCAUCAACAAUGAUAAGUCCAUACUUCUUACCAUUUACUGACGUUGUCUUAACAAGCCCAAAAAGAUCAAUGUGUAGAAGUUCUAGAGGUCUGGAGGUGGAAAUAACAUUUUUGGUUUUGAAAGUGGUUUUAUAAAAUUUCCCUUUCUGACAUGCCUUACAAAGAGCAUCUGAAGAAAACUUUAGCUUAGGAACACCUCUGACUAACUCAAGUUUAUUUAGCUAAGAAAUCCUCAUCAAGCUAAUGUGACCCAAGCGUCUAUGCCACACUAAUUGCUCUUCAUUAACAGACAUCAAGCAUUUCACGUUUUGGUUUUUCAAAUCUGAAAGUUUUAUUUUAUAAAUGUUGUUUUUCCUCUUUCUAGUGAAAAGGACUGUGCCAUUUUUAUGAUUGACAUCUUUGCACGUUUUUUUAUUGAAAAUAAUAUCAUAACCGUUAUCACUUAAUUGACUUAUGGAUAAAAAAUUAUGCAUUAAUCCCUCAACAUAAAGAACAUCAGAAAUAGAGGUAAGAGAUUUGUUACCAACUGUUCCAGAUCCUCUGAUUCUUCCUUUCUGAUUUCCUCCAAAGCCAACGAAACCAACAUCUUUAAGUUCUAGGUCUUGGAACAUAUGCUUUAUUCUCGUCAUGUGUUGCAAGCAUCCAGAGUCCAGGUACCAUGACUAGUAUUUUAACUCUGCUGCAUAGGAUAUCUACAACAUACACUAUUUUAUCUUUUGGUACCCAGAAUCUUUUGGGUCCUUUAGGAUUAGUUUUCCCAUAGUUUCUAAAAACUUUGGGUUUUCUAGCGUUACUGAACUUUUGUGUUUGUGUCGGUUUAUAAUGGUAAGAAAAAUGAUAUUCUGAUUUGUUUUCUAUAGAAGGUUUCUGAUCAUCAUCAUCAGAGUCAUAACAAAUUCGUCUUUUUCUAUUAUGACUUACACCAUAGAUCAUAGAAGCCAUUUUACUUCUAUCAAGGCUGUUGUUCAAAAAUUUCUGAAAGACUUUAUCAUAUUUGUAUAUGAUAGUGUCAAAAGUAGGUGGAGAUUUGGAAAGAGUUUCCUCAAGUUUUAAACAUUUCUUUGUUGAAAAAUCCUUUUCUCUUUCAAGAAUAAAAUUAUUUUCCUUGAGUUCAGAAACUUCUUUCUCCAGCAUGUCACACUUUUCAACAGUCUCUUCAUGAAUCUUUUUCAGGUUCUUGAAUUUCUAUCGAAGCUUCUGAUAUAGGCUCAUACAUUUUGACAAACAGGAUUCAAGAUCAGAACGAGAAAAGUCAGAGAACACUUCUUCAGAUUCAGACUUUGUUUCAAAUAAACUUCCAGAGGUAGUGGCCAUGAACACUACGUUUGCUUGCUCCUCUUCAUAAUCAAAUUUUGGAGCUUCAGAUUCAGAGUCGUCCCAUGUUGCCAUGAGUCCUUUCUUUUUUGCUUUGAAUGAGUUAUUUUUUAAUCUUUCUUUUCUGGAUCUAUCCUUCUUUAUCUUUGGAUAGUCAUUUUUGUAGUGUCCAGGNAUUACUUUUGAGAGAGCUGAUAAGUUCUUCAAGACUUAUGUUAUUCAGAUCCUUGGAUAGCUUCAGAGCAGUAACCGUAGGUCUCCACUUCUUGGGAAUACUUCUGAUUAUCUUCUUGACGUGAUCUGCUGUAGUAUAUCCUUUGUCCAGAACAUUAAGUCAUGCAACCAAGAUUUGGAAUCUUGAGAACAUCACUUCAAUAGAUUCAUCAUCUUCCUUUCUGAAGGCUUCAUACUUCUGGAUUAAGGCCAGAGCCUUAGUCUCUUUCACUUGGUUGUUGCCUUCGUGCUUCAUUUUCAAGGAGUCAAAAAUAUCUUUGGUUGUUUCCCUGUUGGUUAUCUUCUCGUACUCGUUGUAGGAAAUAGCGUUGAGCAGAAUGGUUCUAGCUUUGUGGUGAUUCUUGAAACCGCGCUUCUGACCAUCGCUCAUUCUGCUUCUUGGAAUAGGAAUACCAAUUGUAGAGAUGAGUAUCUCAUAACCAUUUGUAACCAUAUCCCAGAGAUCAACAUCGUAGCCUAGGAAGAAACUCUCAGUUAUGUCCUUCCAGUAGUCAAAUUUUUCUACAUAAAAAACUGGAGGUUUUACAUUGUAUUUGUAGCGGUGUAUUCGUCACCAUCGGAAAUAUUGAUUAGAUCCGAGGUAAAUCAUACAAGGUAGAGUCGCCACCGCACUUCUAUUUAUCCAAAGGAAUGGCUAGAAAGCGAACAAAAGCCUAAGAAGUUUUGCAGAGAGAAAACUAAUAAAAAGGGUACAGAGAUCUGGGUAAGGGGGUAAUUAUGCAAAGGGAAGGUGUUAGGCACCCAAUGCAUCCUAGGUACUCCUAGGGAACCCUUUUCACAAAUUGUUGCAAAAAGUUAUUGUUUAUGAAAAUAUUUAUUGUGCAAACAUUGAUUGAAGGGAUGAGAGAAGAAUGUACAAGUUAUUAUUUUUGUGUUUGGAUGGAUAACCAUUGCCUACGUACCUUUACAGGAUCAAAACCUCGUAGUUCGGCUAAAAGAUUUCCAAAAAAAAUGAGUGGUUUGAUUUUAAACAAAAGCCUUAAGGUCUUUCGUUAUCCACGGGAGAAAACUCAACCUAUACAACCACAAGUCCACCAUGUGAGAACAACUUCAACGUGCUAGUGAGGGGUUAACCCUAUAAUAAGCAAGGAAGUCUUACAAUUCAAUCACUAAGGACAAAAGGUGAGAUUAACAUCAACCACUAAGAUAACUCAGAUCUAUGGCUAAUGUAUGAAAACUUAUCAACAAAUGGACAAAGCCACAAAAGCAAUUGAAUGAGUGGAAUUAACCAAUUAGAAUUAUUCACAAAAUGAAGUCAAAGUUGACAUUAAUGUUCAAUUCAGAAGAAGUAUUGUGAAAAUGAAGUUUGAAAAUCAAAGGCAUGAGGCCUAGGUUUCUAGUUUUGAAAACAAGUGAAAAUAUUUGCACAAUAGUUUUCUGGUUUGGGUUAACAUGCAAAUGGAGGUUUAAAGAACAAAAAGGUGGGAGGAUGGGGAACAAAACUUCAUUAGGAGUUCCUUUCUUGAGAUCAUAUGUAGAUGAUCCAAGUGGUUCCUCUGGAAUAGGCAACACAAAGCAAAGCAAAUAAGCAAGGUUCAAAAGAAUAAAAGCUGGAAACGGAUAGCCAAUAAAUGGUCUUACAUCCAACUCCCCAAUAGGAACAGGAAACAGAUGGCCAAUCAAUGGUCUUACAUCUGACUCCUCAAACAAAGCAAAUAACAGAUGCAAAAAGCAAUAUGAAAGAACAAUAUGCAAAAGCAAUCACAAGCAAUCACGAUCAAUUAGCACACACUAUACACAAUCAAGAGGCUCAGUCAAGGUUAGGCUUUAGUCAAGGGGUCAUAUCAACCUCGACAAACAAGCCGGUACUGUAUGGGUGUUUUGAGUUCUUAACCCUAACAUUGAGAGUUAGGGUGAAGCAGAUGAAAUGGGAAAUGAGGAUUAGACCUCAUAGCUCUUAACGCUGGCCUGGGUGAGCUUGAAUCAAUGAAAGUGUGGGAGUCCAGAAUGAGGAACUCUACUCCAUAUGACUGACUCGAUAUACAAUGAUCUUGGGUGUUUAUUCAAAUGCAUCAGCACGUAGUGCGAGCAAUAUGAAAGACUCAACUGAAUAACAGGGGAUUGAUUGCAAAUCCCUUCUAUCUGCCAAUUGCCUCUUCACUUAGGAGGACUUAACCUGUAUGCCUCGACAAGGAGGUCUUAAGCACAAAGAUAAACAUACACAGACAUUGCCUCUUAAGGAGGACUUCAGCCAAAUGCCUGCCAAACAGAAACGACGGGGCUUCCAGACUACAUGGAGAAAAGAGGUUACCUAAGUGGUAUGCCAACCACAAGCAAAGAAAAGUUCAAAUGAACUUAAAGAGGCUAAGGUACCUGUAUGAAAAGCUAAACAAUCAGUAUUAUGUUCAGACAAACAACCAACAGAUAACAAUAGUCAGACAACCAAUAUACACAAUGCAAGUCAACAACUCAAGUGAGUUAACCACCCAAGGACCUACAACACAAUCAAAAUUAAUUAAACAAAGUAAAUUGCAUCUCAAGCAAGGAGAUUAUAUCAUCCAUUAGAACUAAUUGCUUGAACCUGAAAUACAAAGCUCAAAAUGUGAGUCCAAACCCCUAGGGCAAAGCCUAGGGUCAAAGGUGGAUCAAAAAGUCAAAACAACAACCAAUAUUCAGCAAGAAGCAUGUUUAAACAAGUAAGAACAUGUCCUAAAAAGGACCAAGUCAAAAGUAUCAAGCAAAGGAAUCUCAUGAGCAAGAUAUGGCAAAGACAAUUGCAAAGCACACAAUUGGUCAUCAAGAGUGAAAAUUCCAUAUUAAAACAGAAAUGACUCAAACAAUCAUGAAAAUUUUUAUGAGCAUAUAACAUGUCAAACACAAUCAUCAUACCAAAAAUUAGAAUCAACAGAGUUCAAUUGACCUAGAAAUGAAAAUGCACAAGUAUGACAUCAAAUUGUGUGACACACAUUGUCACACCAUACAAUCAUAUGUAUAAAACAGAGAUGAAAAAUGAUAAAAAUGCACAACCAAGCCUAAAAAAUCAUGCAACAUGUUGGGAAUCAGCAUACCAAAUUUCAAAUCAAUUGGCCAAUGUAUGAGCAUUUCACAAUAGAAUGAAUGAAGCAUGUCACAUUUGCAUACAUGUUCAAAGAAGUUGACACAAUAAAAAUUCCAGAAAUGGUAAAAUCAUGAAAUCAGCAUCACAAAAUAAUAGACAAACACAUGAUCAUGUAGAAAAAAAUUGGGAAUUAAUUGGAUCAACAUGCUAUUUUUGGUGAUUUUUCAAUUAACAUGGAUAAAAUGAAAAAACAAUGAAAACAUUGAAAAAUAAUAUGGAAAUGAAACAAGGAAAUGGAAAUGCAUUCAUGCAGGAAUCGAACAGAGGUCUCAUGGCUCAAGGAAACGCGUCUAAAACGCAGCGUUCCAUUAAUUGAUGUGGCAAGCCACAUCACUGGUCAAAGCCUGCGUGGAAAAGUCAAAGAAACACUAGCCAAUAGAAAUACCAACGAAGCGCCAUGCCAGCAGCCAGCAAGGAAAUGAAAACAAAACAAAUGCCAAUAUGAAGGGAUCGAACACAGGUUUAAGGUGUGAAAGGUUCUUCUACAGUGUAAUUGAAAACGCUGAACCAGAGGGAACCCUAACUGUUCAUGCGCGGCCAGGCUACGGUGGUUUCCACCGUCUUCUUCAUGAAGACGGUGGCGCUACAGUGAUGCGCUUCAAUUUUUUUUCCAGAAACACGAAAAUUAUACAUCAUUCGAAAGGUUUUAUCAUGCACAUUCCAAAUCCAGCAUUAUUUUGAUCUAAUUCCUCAUGAAUCAUGCAAAUCGAGCAAAAACAUUUUUGACCACAAAACUUUCAAUCAACAUAACACAGUCAAUACUUCACCAUUUUCAAAAGUAUUUAUAUCAGCAUGCUCAGCGUUCAAAGAUCUACCUAAACAUGGCAAAAGAAUGGAGAAUUAAGGACUUCGAAAACCUAACCUCUUGAAGAGCAGUCAUUGAAAUCUGUGGAUUCAAGGCUUGGCAAUCUCUAGAAUUACUCAUAUAUUGAUGUUAUGAAGCUUGAUGUAUGAAUUGAAGCUUGAGAUGGCUUGGAUCUAGCUCAGAUUUCAAAUUCCAUCUUCAUGUUCUUGAGCUUCAUGUGCGUAAUUCUUCACCAAAAACUUCGAUCCACACCUUGAUCUGCACUCAAUGAUAAUCAGAGAACACAAAUAUCCAAUAAAAUCAAAGGCUUAUGUGAAGAAAAUUGAAGUUUCAAAUUGAAGAAAAUUUUGGAGGGAAGAGAAAUUUGGAUCUAGAAUGAGCAAAAACCCCAGAAUUCUGUUAUGAUUUGGUUUAUAUAUGGUCUCUUAAUCACAUUGCUAAUCCACAUUUGCAUUGGUUAAUUGAGAUUAAGCAAAAUAAGGUGUGUGACCAAAAAAUGGAAAUUGUGAGGUGCCAUGCAAAUCCACACGUGAACAGUAGCAUAUGGAUGCUCAAAUUCACUUAAAAUCUUCCAAUGAACACAAUGGCAAUGGUAAUUAGCUCAUGUGAUUAGCCAAAUUUGAAUUUGCAAAGUUCCCUCCAAAAUGGUCAUGAAUGAGCAAAUGGUCAUGUGAUGAAAUUUCAUGCAAUGUAAUGAAUGAUUUGGAAAAUAAAUGUCAUGAGGAGCAUAAUGCAAAAAGAAGCACUCAAAUUGGAGCUUUAGAUCAAAAGUUAUGGCAUUUUGAAGUUUCAAGCACACUUUGCAAUGAUUGGAUCAUAUCUCCUUAACCAUUCAUCAGAUGCUCAUGAUCUUGAACUUUUUGGAAAUGAGAGAGAGAGAUCUUCAACUUUCAUGUUGGACAAAAAUUCAUUUGAAGCUUCUUUGAUAUUGGAAAGUCAAGUUGAAAUUGGACCAAAAACUUGCCAUUUUUGGAAACUUGAAAUUACAGGUCACUUUCCAUUUUGGGAAACUUUUGCACUGGCUUCAAAUUCUUCAACAUUGAGGUUUGAUAUGAUGAAUAGGACUUGUAUGAACAUGAAUGGGAUGUCUCAGAUCAUUUCCACACCUCAAAGCCUUCAAUUUGACUGGUCAGUUGAUCAGAUGGUCCUCAGAUGACCUGAAAUUGCCUGAUGAACUUGGGCCUCAACCACUUGGGGAAUUUGCUCCAAAGUGAACCUCUAGCUCACAUAAGCUCAAUAAAAUGAUCAAAUGGUCCUCAUCUCAAGGAGAAACCUCAUCUCUUGUACCAUGGAUUCACCUGAUGUGUCUGACCUGUUGACUGCUUAAGCUGCAAGUGACAAAGGUUAAUGACAUAUUUUUGGUACUUUUGGUUAGUGAACAAAUGAGAAAAGCAAAGACAUACAAUGCACACAUGCUUGGUGAUCAAAGAACCACUCUCAAGAUAUCCCACCCACAGGGAAAGGAGCACAAGAUGCUUAUUGAUCCUUGAGGCUAUGCAAUGCAAUGCUAUGAUGCCAUGAGGGAUCUUAGGGUCAAAAAUUGGGUCUUGCAGUAUCUAUCUCUUUCAUUUGUGUUGGCCAUGAAUUUUUUCUCACCCUGGGUCUCUCUACACGGUUAAGUGUUUGAUUUAAAAAUCAAUAACAGAGCUGAAGCUCUGAUACCAAUUGAAGAUAGAGAAAAACAAGAAAGGGGGUUUGAAUUGUUUUCACAGGAAUUAAAAGAUUUUUCCAACAACACACACGUAGAAUUAAUAAUAAUAACACAAAUAAUUUAUCCUAGUUUGCUUGAAAUUCAAAGUUACUCCAGUCCACCCGAACAAGGUGAUUUCUCCUUCAACAAGGACUUAAUCCAUAAAUCUCAACAGAUUACAUAGUCCGUCUAAGAGUUCAACAACCUCUUAGCCAUCUCAAGUCUACAGGCCUAAACAAGUUACUUGAGGAAUCAAAAUCAAUUACAAGAAUUAUAAAGUGUUUCGCUAGAUGCUUCUAGACAAGCAGUAUAAACACAAUUUUAGACCAGUGAAAGAUACCCAUACAAUAUUGAGCAACAACUCUUGUAUGGAAACUAUUUCUUACAACAGUAGUGGUGAAUGAAUAAUCAGAGUAUAAUAAUGUUUUUGUGUCAAAGUUCUAUAUUUCAUCAAGUUGUGAGGAGGCUCUUAUAUAGAACUUGAGAUGAUACCGUUGGGGGAGGGGGGAAUCAAUAAAGAUUUCGUGCCAGCUGUGGGAGAUAAAUAUAGUAAAUAUCUUAUCAUUUCCAUAGCAGUCUUGGAGCAUAAUCAAAUGCUUACUUUAAAGGAAUUGUAUUGUAAUUUGAAUGCUUCCAUCUUAAUUUUCUGACCAAGUGACACCUGAUGGCGUGUUUCUGAGCAUGUGUCAGAGUGAGGUGAGCAUGAUCAGAGUCUACAGAGUUAGAGUCUUCAGAUAUCUCUUACAGAGUCUUCAAAUAGAGUUCUUAGAAUCAGAUCAUCAAAGCUUGAACUUCAGAGUCAGAUUCAUCAAGUGAUUUCUCCUCAAAUGCAUUAUGUUCAGAGUCAAAUGUGAUUUCUCUUUGUGUUGGGUCAGUGCUUCUGGAUUAAUUCAAAUGCCAGAAUUUCGUUUCUUGAUAAUCAAAAGGUGACUCAGAGUCAUUUUAACUUAGAAUCCUGCACACUUAAUAAAAUUGUUAGGGUACCAAAUUGUUUCAUUCUUUGUUAUCAUCAAAACUUAGAGAUAUAUUGUAGAAUUAAAAUCUUGUUCUAACACCUUCUUGUUCCAAGCUCUUGGAGCUUGUUUAAGUCUGUAUAUGGCUUUAUGCAGCCUGUACACCUUUAUUUCUUCACCUUAUUCCACAAACCCAGUUGGUUGUACAACAUAAACUUCUUCUUCUAAGGGUCCAUUCAGGAAUGCACAUUUCACGUCCAUCUGACACAUCUUCCAGUUGUUCAUGUUUGCUAGACCAACAACCAACCUGAUUGUUUCGAUCCUAGCAACAGGUGCAAAAACUUCAUUGAAGUCAAUUUCUUCUUUCUGAAGAAAUCCUUUCGCCACAAGUCUCACCUUAUGUCGAGUCACUUCUCCUUUGGGAUUCAACUUCACCUUGUAUACCCACUUAACAUCAAUUGCCUUCUUGUAUUUGGGAAAUUCGACAAGUGACCAAGUGUUGUUGACUUCGAUUGACUUCAAUUCUUCGUCCAUUACUUUCAUCCACUUUGAAUCUUUUAAUGCCUCAGUUGCAUUGACUGGUUUGACAUCUGUGUAGAAAGCAUAAUGUACCAGCUCACCUUCUUCAUUGACCACAUCAUUUGAUGUAAUCACACGUUCUUGCAACCUUGCAGGCAUAUGUCUUUUUCUUUGAGGUCUGCUUGGGCCUGCUUCACCUCUGACUUCUUCCCGUCGAACUUCUCUUUUGACUUCACUAACUGGUUCAUCAUAAAAGAUUCUCACUGAAUCUUUCUUGACAUUCUAAGUCCAAUCCCACUCCUUAAUCUCAUCUAUGAUCACGUCCCUGCUGAUCACUACUUGCUUAUUCACUGGGUCGAACAACUUAUAUCCUCCAGUUGAAUGAUAUCCUAUCAGCAUCACCUGACUCGACUUGUCAUCAAGUUUUCUUCUCAACUGAUCUGGCACAUAUCUAUGUGCUAUAGAUCUAAACACCCUCAGAUAACUCAAGCUUGGCUUGACACCAGACCAACAUUCUUCUAGCAUGAUUCCUUCUAGCUUCUUUGUUCGAUAUCUGUUUAGGAUAUAUGUUUCAGUCGACACGGCUUCUCCCCAUAAUUCUUUAGGUAGAUUCUUUCCUUUUAACAUACUUUUAACCAUAUUCAUGAUGGUUCUAUUCUUCCUUUAUGCGACCUCAUCCUGCUGUGGAGUGUAUGGUGGAGCCACCGCAUACACAACCCCUUCUUUCACACAUAAUGCGUCGAAGCCUUUCGACACAUAUUCUCCACCACCAUCAGUCCUUAAAAUCUUGAUCUUUCAAACGCUCUGUCUUUCGACCAUAAAUUUAAACUUGGCAAAUACCUCGAUCACUUCACUUUUCUUCUUGGUCAGGUAAGGCCGCAGUUUUCGAUUGAAAUCAUCUAUAAAUGUAACAAAGUAUUUGUUACCUAUAAUCGAAUCCACCUGGAGAGGACCACAUACAUCGGAUUAUAUGACUUCAAGAAUUGCCUUCGACCUGCUUCCUAUAUCCUUACUAAAGUUGUUCUUAUGCCGCUUCGCCUACACACAUUCUUCACACACUUCAUUCGGAAUGUCAAUUUCUGGUAAUCCUGAAACCAUAUUUCUUCUCUUCAAAUCUCUAAUAUCUUUGAAAUUGAGAUGGCCAAGUCUAUAAUGCCAUAUAGAUUCAUCUAUGUUGGUUGUUAUUGUAAGGCACUUAUGCUCCAUCACAUUAAGCUCAACCUUGAACGUUCUAUUUUGAGACAUUAGAGCCUUCAAGAUCAACCUUCCAUUUGAGGCGAGAACUCUCAUCAUCGUGUCUUUGAUUGACACCUUGUAGUUAUUUUGGACUAAAUGCCUUAUGCUGAGCAAAUUGCUCUUCAUGCCUGGUAUGUACAACACAUUUGAAAUUACUGACCUCUUACCAUAUUUCCUCAUAAUUAGAACAUCACCAACAUCUUCAGCUGCUAGAGUGUUAUCAUUUGCAAAUUUCACCAUGUUCUUCAUUUAGGCUUUAUGUUAACAAACCAAUAUUUCCUUCCAGACAUGUGUGAUGAGAAUCCUGAGUCCAAGUACCAUUGGUCCUUGAAUCUCUCUCCAUCUCUCGUUGUAACCAUCAGCAACGUCUCUUCUUCUUCGUGUUUUGCCAGCUUCACAUAAGUUUCUUGAUUCUUUUUCUUUUCUGGACAAUCACUAGAAUAGUGACCAUACUUAUGACAAUUGUCAUACUGAAUGUGACUCUUGUCUGGCUUUUGACCACCACCUCUUCCUCUACUUGUAGCAUCACUUCUUUGGUUGCCUUGGUUCCAAGCUUUUCUCUGAUUCAACCAGUUUCCUUCUUGUUGAUUUCGACCAGUUGAAUUGUUGUAGCCUCAUUUGCCUUUGUUUCCAUUCCAGCUUCCUUUACCUUUCCUUUAUUUUGCUGAUUGCGUCUCCAAAUCCAUAUCACUCUUCGACUUUCUUGCAGCUCUUUCAUCCAUUCUUUGUUCAUGAGAUUCAAGCAUCCCUUGAAGCUCUUCCUUUGUCAGGUUUGACAAAUCUUUCGACUCUUCUAUGGCUACUACCACGUGGUCAAAAUUUGGGGCCAACGACCUCAAGAUCUUUCCAACAACAGAUCUUGAUGUCAACACUUCUCCGUAUACCUUGAUUUGAUUCACCAGUUUCGUAACCUUGGUGAAGAAAUCAGCUAUGCUUUCAUUGUCUUCCAUCUGAAUCAAUUCAUACGUCCUUUUGUGAGUUUGUAACCUCACCUCUUUCACCUUCUCCGCGCCUCCAAACGAGUUCUCUAGAAUUUCCCAUGCUUCUUUCGCCGAUUUUACAUCACUAACCUUUAAGUUAUAUGAAUCAACACAUUGAUGGAUUAUAAAGAAAGCUUUAUAAUCUUUCUUCUUCAAUUUUUUAUGUGUAGCGUUUUCUUGAUCUGUCGCACUUUCUGCAAGCAUUGUUACUCCUUCCUUCACAAGAUCCUAAAGAUCUUGAUAACAGAACACCACUUUUGUCUUCUUGCACCAAUUCUCAUAAUUGUUGUUCUUGAGAGUCAGAAUAUUUGCUGGAAAAUGCCUGUUUGGAUGAUUCAUUGCCAUGGUGAUUUUCUUCCCACAAAUCGUUUAAACCGAAGCUCUUGAUACCAGAUGUUGGAAAUUUACCACAACCUAUGGAGAAUUUCAAUCAAUCUCUAUGAUCAAGAUUAUUUUCAUUCAUACAAUGAAAAUAAAAGAUAAUAACAAUGGAGAAAGAAAAUAAAGAACGAUGAAGGAGAAGAAGAAUACUUCUACAAGUUUCUCUCUAUCCACAACUAUGGAAAACUUUCUUAUUCACUUUGCAACUGCAAAAUUUUGUGAAUACAAUGUUUAAUGACAACAUUCACUUUUAUUACAAGAAUAAGUGUUACUCCUCUUAUUUAUAGAUUUAGGUUAACUUGGAACUCGAGUCAAAGCCCAAAACUAUAAAAGCCAAAAUAGCAACACACUAAAAUGGCCUAAGUCGAAAUCAUGUUUGAAGCAACAUGCUUCGACACAAGGAUUACAAUUCAACUAUUGUGGUAUCCACUUGGAAUGGCAAGGUCCAUUGUAUUUUUUUCUUAUUGUGUAUUAUGCUUAUGGUUUUUGAGCAAAAAGAAGUUGUAGGAUAUUUGAGAAGCAAUCAAACAGAAUUUUGGAGGUAAUUGGUGCGUAGCAAACGACUUCACACAGUUAAAUGGAACAGGAAAAGAAGGUGUAAUGGUCAGGUUAACUAUUAUGAUUCAAGAAUUUUGUGAGUUAUAGUGUUAGUGUCUUCUUGAUGUCCAGGUUAUUGGGAACUAAACUUACUUGAUUCAACACGGAAGGAAGUGCAAUGAGUAGACUCUAUCGAUUUCUUUUGUCUACAAUUUGAUUGAGAUUGGGUUCUGAAGCUCAAUUUGUAUGAAAUAUAAAGCCUCUCGGAAAUUUCCUGAUAUGGAUCAAAACAAAUAGGAUGAGUUUGGGACCGAAACCCUUUAAGGUCUUUAGUUAUUGGUAUGAGCAUCCUGACUUUGUUUCUUUGGUUAAAACUGUGUGGAAUGCAAGUAGUGUUCAAGGUAAACAUUUUUUUAGAUUCAAAGAAAAGUUGAGAAUGAUAAAGGAUAUUUUAAGAGGUUGGAAUGGAGAAGUCUUCGGUAUUCUUGAUUUCAAUAUAGAAGAAGAAAUUAAAGAAUUGAAUUCUUUAGAUCACCAAAUGGAUAUUGAAGGAGAUUGUACUUCUUAUGUUAUCUCAAAAAUAUGGGUGGAGGCCACAACUAGGGUGUGGCAAACCAUGCAACACAAUGAGUCAAUGUUAAGACAAAAAUCAAGAGUGGGACGGAUUGGGGAAGUUGAUUGAAAAUCAAAGUAUUUUCACUGAGUUAUGAAAAGGAAUUUCCGUAGAAAUGGAAUUGUUGUGCUUAAUUCUGACAGGGCCAUAUUAAGUCAAGUGGAUGAUAUCAAGCUUGAAGUUUUGAGUAAUUCUCAAUAAAGGUUACUUGAACCAGUGAUGCGAAGGCUAAAGCUAAGGAUGACUUUUAAUCUGUUGUCUGAAGCAAAUAUUAACAUUUUGGAGGAACCUUUCACAUUGGAAGAAUUGAAGGAUGUUAUUUGGAAUUAUGAUAGUGAGAAAAGUCAAGGGCCCGGUGUAUUCAACAAGGUAUUUUAUAAAAAAAUGUUGGGAGAUUGUUAAGGACAAACUUGUUUUGUUGUGUUUCUAAAUUCUAUUUGAAUGCUAUAUUUCCUAAAUCUAUCAUGGCAUGGUUUAUAGAAUUAAUUCCAAAAAUGAGCAACCCUCAAGGUUUGAAUGAGUUUUGCCCCAUUUGUCUCGUGGUGAGCGUUUAUAGAAUUCUGGAGAAAUUGUUGUUAGAAAUAUUUAAAAAGAUGACAGGUUCCUUACCAAUCAACUUUUAUACAAGGCAAAUAUAUGUUAGACAGAGUGUUGGUGAUGAACAAGCUUGUGGAUUUAGCUAAAAGGAAGAAGAAUGAUUGCUUGGUGUUUAAAGUUGAUUUCGAAAAGGCGUACAAUUGUGUGGCGUGGUAUUAUUUAAGAGCUUUUAUGGGUAGAAUGGGCUUUACUCAUAGAUGGAUAAGUUGGAUGGAAGCUUGUGUUUAUUCAAGUUCAAUGUCGGUUAUGGUAUACGGUAGUCCCACUAAGGACUUCAAGGUGAAGAGAGGUUUGCACCAGAGAGAUUCAUUGUCUCCUUUUAUGUUUUUGUUCGUAGGCGAAGGCUUAACGAGUCUAAUGCAUAAUAUGUUGCAAUUAGAACUUUUACAGCCCUUUAAAGCCUCAUACAAAGUUAAUUUGAAUUUGUUGCAAUUCGUGGAUGAUGCGAUAAUUUUUUAGGGAGGCUCGUGACAAAAUCUUUGGACAAUUAAAGUGGUUUUGAAAGUGUUGUGACCGAAAAAAUACCAAGAGCGCUCGUACACUCGAGAAGAUAAAAAAGUUGCCACUGAAAUUUAUUUGUUCCAAAAGGAAAGGAAAAAUAUCAAUAAAUCCUUAAGGAAAAAUAAAAUGGUCAUCGCAACCAAAUUCAGGUUUGGGAGUCGAUUAUGUGAGGGAAAUGUAUUAGCACCCCCCACAUUUGUUAUACUCAACAGGAACCAUUUAGCUAGUUAUGUGAAUAAGUGUUAGCUUUCCUUAUUGUUUUUGUCUACUUAUUAAAAGAUUGAAAAGAGAAAACGACUAAAGAUAAGCUUUUUAUUAUGGUGCCUUACGAGACGUUGAAUCUUGCUCCUAUGUAUCCCCAGAUGCAAUUGGGAACUCAAGGUUAUGUAGUUCAGGAUAGAAAGUGUUUGUUGGUUGGUUGAUUUUAGGAUUGUAUAUUACGUCCAACUAAUCCCUUUUUAAUCCAUUUUAUUUCAAAAAGGUUUGAAACACGUUCGAAGGACUUUAGGAGGAAGACAAAUACUCGAGCAGGUCAACUAUUAACAACUUGUUCCAAAGUAUUCGAGACUAUGGUUGGAUGUUACGUCCAACUAUUUCUUUUUAAUCCAUUUUAUUAUGAAAAAAGAUUUGAGACGCCUUCGAUAAUUUUAAGAGGAAGACAAAUACUUGAGCGGACAAGCUAGUACAACUUGUGCCCUAAGUAUUUGAGACUAGGAUUUGAUAACGUCCAACUAGUCUUUUAAUCCAUUAUUAUGAAAAUGUUUAAAGUAUUUAAGUUAGAUGAUUUUGAUUUUAUUUUGAAAAAGAACCUGAUAUUUGAUCAACCAUAUUAAUUCGUGUUGAAAUGAUUUUAUUUUUUAGUAAAAGGUUUAACUUGUGUAAAAAUGAUUUAAGUUUGUGAUAUGAAAAAAAGCUGUUUGAUUUAAUUGUGAAUAAAGAUCUUGAAUAAUUGUAAAAAAUAAAAUUGUUUUCUUUAUAUUUAUUAAUUAGUUAGUCAAAUUAUUAAAAAUAAAAUAAUCAAAACAAUAAAUAAAUAACAAGGCUAAAUAAAAUAAUGAGGGGUGCAUACAAGCAUUAUAGGGGUUGUCAUAUUCAAAUUCGUAGGCCUAGAGCCCAAAUAAUAAGCCAAAUAAAAUAUUAAUAAAAAAUGCAGGUAGGGAAACAAAUGGGGUGCAUGAGAAACCAGCCCCAAGAGGUCCAAAACAACUCAACCCUAAUUAUAAAAAUAAUAUAAAAAGAAAAAACAAAAAUAAAAUGCUGCAAUAGAGAGGGGCGGCGUCCCAUUUAAUUUAUUGAGCUCUUUAGCUCUCUUAUUUUCUUUUCUUUUUUAUAAAAAAAAUAAACAACCAAUCACGUACAGACAAUUGGCAUGCCAUUAAUAAUAAACCAAACAAAAUAUAUACAUAAAAGGGAAAUAAUUAAAUAAUAAGAGAAAAGAUAUGGUGCAUUGACCGUGUAACUGUCAACCAAUGACAACCAUGUAUCCCGACAAUUCAACAUAUAAAUUUUAAAUCACUUUUAUGAUUUGACACUUUCAACCAAUGACAACCAUGUAUCGACUGAAACAAAUGAAACGGCGGUGGCGAGCAAGGCUAGUGCAUGGUGGUCAGUGAACGACACUUCGUCGGAAUCAGAGGCAGACAAAUUCAAGGUACAAUGCCAUUUUCUCCUUUCCACUUUCUAUUUUUGCUUUUUCCUUGUUGUUAUGGUUGAAAUGUCGAACAUGCUUUGGAUUUGUUGUUAAUAACUUGUUAUCGUGGUUGAAAAAAUAGAUUAUUAUUGUAUAAAGGUGGUGCAUUGAGAGCUUGAGUUUAGGCUAGUCAAAAAUGUGUUAUUCCUUACAUGAGAAAAUGUCGGUGGUGAUGAUGCAGGGAGAGAAAGGAAUUAUUAUUGCAGUUGAAUGAUGUAAGGGAAUUUCUUCAACGUUAGCAGUAAUAUAGCUUUUUUUCAAUAACUUUAGUGAGUUGACUUUUGUAUUCUCUAUUUUAAAAUGUUGUUAUGGUUUUUGUUGAAUAAUAUGGUAGUGUGAUUGAAGGAGAAAAAUGGUUAUGUUGUUUUUUUAAAAUAUGAAGAAAGCAUGUUUUCUUCUCAAUUUUUUUCACUUUUCUCUCUGUAUGUCUUUUGGUGGCUCUUGAUUUUGGUGAAUGGUUAAUUAGGGUUUAUUAGUGAGAAAUGUGUGAAGGAAUAAAGCAUGUGAAGGUUGUACGAGUUUUUUUAUGGAUUAGUUUGUUAAGUGGAAUUUUGGUAGGUGACAAAAUGCAUUUUGAGAGAGAGAGAGAUGUAUCCAUAAAAAGUUUAAAAGUUAUUCUAGCGAUUUUUUAUUUUGUCUUUUAUGCCAAAUGAGAAUAAUGAUGUAUGUAUGGUAAAAUAGUAUAAUGGCAUCAAUAUAAAUUCAAUAUUCUUUAAUUUUUCUUCAAAAAUCCAAGAUGCCAAGUAUGCACAUGAAUGAAUCCAAGUGUGAUCAAAUCUUGAUUUUUCUUGACAAUGCAUGCACAAUUUGAUGUCAUAUGGUAAGUGUCAUGAAACUUGAAUUAUAACAUGAAUGGAAUAAAGUAACUUAGUAAAAAAAUGGAUAAUUUCAUGCAUGGUUCCAAGGUUGGUUUUUUCUGGUGACCUUGUUCGAAUGAACAUAAUGAAAUGAGAUGCAUGAAAAGAAUAUUCUAUUUUUUAUUUUUUUGGAUUUUUAGAUGAAACUAAAGUUGACUUUCUUUGAAUUUUUCAAAAGAAAACUUCUGGUGCAAGGAAACCAUAGAAUGACCUAAAAUUUAAACUAUCAAUGGCAAAUGGAUAAAAAAACAUUAAUGGAAAUAUGAUGAGAUAAAAUACAAUUAGGGCUAGUUGACUUUUUUGUUUACUUUUAACUAAACUAAAGUAUGAACGAUUGAUCAAUGAUGUGAAUGCCUUGAUGAAUGCAAUAACGUUAGGGCAAAAUUUAGGGUAUGACAGCUGCCCUUAUUUAAAUAUCUUCGACCAAAGAAUAUGAGGAACGCCAAUCCUCAUAUGAUCAUGGUGAAAGAUAUUUAAAUAAUAAAGGGCCCAAAAUUUUCCCUUGAAGAAAUGAAAUGAUAUGUUAUGAGUUUAUGGAGAAUUUUCUCGUUGGGGAUAUGAAAAUGCAAAGCAGACUCUUUGGGGAUUGUUGAGAUAACCGGUAAAGGAGGUCUGGUGGGGAUAAAAUGAGGUAAGGUGAGAAAACUCACUGGGUAAAAAUAAAGACAUCUUCUAGAAAUACGUCAGGAUGAAAAGACAUAUUUGAAAAGGAAACGGGUUCUAGAAAUACAUCAAAACAAAAAGACAUGUCCAGAAAUACAUCGGAUCAAAAGGAAAAGGUUCUGGAAAUACAUUAGAACAAUAAUGAAACAUGUCCGAAAAUACAUCAGAUAAAAGGAAAAUAGUUCUGGAAAUACGUAAGAACGCCAAGGGAGUAUCCGGAAACGCAUCGGGUAAAAAGGAAAAGGUUCUAAAAAUAAAUCAAAACACAAUACUCAUCUAGAAUUACAUCGGAUAAGUUAUGUAAUUACAUCAGAACCCAAUACUCAUUCGAGAAUACAUCGGAGAGACAAAGAAACAUCCAGAAAUAGAUCGGAUAAGUUCUGGAAAUACAUCAAAACCAAAUACUCGUCUGGGAAUACAUCGGAGAAGAAAAGAAAUAAAUUCUAGAAAUACAUCAAAAAGGCAACAAAUAUGCGGAAAUGCAUCGGAGAACAAAAAAAGAAAUAUUAUGGAAAUACAUUAGAAUGGAAAGACAUAUUCGAAAAUGCAUCGGACAAAAGAAAAUGGUUUUGGAAAUACAUCAGAACAUCAUACUCAUUUGGAAAUACAUCGAAGAAAAAGAAACAAGUUCUAGAAAUACAUCGAACAAAACGACACAUCCAGAAAUACAUCAGAUAGACAAAUGAGAAAUUGAACCUCAACGGACAACACAUAUAUUCUUCAUGGGUGCCAAUGAAUUUGGACUUUGACCAAAAGGUGAUACAUUGAUACCAACAAGAUCUUGGGAGUGCACAUGAGUGUAAAACAUACUUCGAGCUAUACAUGAUAUUGAAUUAUGUUUCUAUGCAUGAUGCAUGAAUGAUAACUACAUGAAAUGCUUAAUGCUUAUGAAGACUGGGUUUUUGUGCCAAGCAUAGUUGAGCUUUUGUGUGGUAUUGGAGUUUUGAUUCCAUGACACAUGGAACUCUUGCCACAUCUUGUUAUAGAUAUAUUUCUCUUGGCGCUUUUAUCAAGCAUAUUGGUCAUGCAUUGGGUUAAUGAUCCCUUUGGAAAGCUUAUGGGUCAUGCCCCAUGGAGGUUCAUUUUGUGGUGAUCCAAAAGUGCUUUAUGAUUUUGUGAUUUUUGAAAUAAAAAAGAUCCCAUCGAUUUUCGUUUAACCACUUCCAAUGUCAAAGCGUUUAUGUUUUUUCAUUAUGCUUAUUAUUCCUUAGAUUCAAAAUUGUAUCAUAAAAAAUAAAUGACAUUUUUCAAAAGAAGGAAAUCAAAGAAAACACGAAUGAAAAGCUUUUGAUGGGCAAAUCUGGAUUUUCUUCAUGGAAUGGUAGCACACAAAGGUGUAUCUCCAUAUAGAUCAUUAUAAAGGGGCAAUUGAAAAUGGCAAUGAGAAUCAGGUUUACAUUGAAUUACAACAACCACUUAUUUCCCUAUAACCAUGAGUCCUUAAAACCUUGCUUCUGAAGAGAGCAACUGGAUUGAUCAUUCCUGCUUCUGGUUCUUCUGCGUUAAUCAGUCUAGCCUGAUGUAGUAUCUUUACUUUUAAAAUACCUAAAUUUUGUUUGGAUUGCUCUUUUGAUUUUUUAACCCAUCGGGAUGCUCUUUUUUUACCUAAAUCAUCUUUUUCAGGUUUUCGACUUAGAAAGCUAAUAUAUUCUUUUAUCCCUAAUUUUUGCCUGGACCUCCCUUUUGGGUUUUCGACUUAACGGGUUGUCUUUUUUCUUAGGUAUAAUAUCUCUUGACUGCAUCAGAGUUCACUAAGAGUGGAAAUUAUUCUCCUUCCAUGGUUGUAAGAAUCAAAGCUCCUCCUGAGAAGGCUUUCUUUACAACAAAUGGGCAUUUGUAGUUUGAAGUCCAUUUUCCGCGUGAAUAUUUGUGUAUAGGAAAUAUCUUCUUGAGAACGAGGUGACCUUCCUUGAAUUCUUGAGGAUAAUAAACCUUCUUUUUAAAUGCCUUCUUGAGCCGUUUUUGAUACAACUAGCCAUGGCACAGAGCUAUCAUGUGUUUCUUGUCAACAAGGUUCAAUUGGUCAAACCUAUUUGGAAUCCAUUCAGCCUCUUAUAGCUUGGUCUCCAUGAAGAUUUGCAUUGAUGGGAUAUCCCCUUCGAAAAGAAGUACUGCUUCCAUAUCGUAUACCAAAGAGAAUGAGGUUUCCCUUGUUGAAGUGAGGAUAGACGUCUAGUAUAUGUGAACUGCAAAAGGUAGCAUUGCAUUCUAGUCCUUGUAGGUUUUCACCAUCUUCUGUAGGAUAUUUUUGAUAUUUUUAUUUGUUGCUUCUACAACAUCAUUAAUAUUUGGUCAAUACAGUGAUGAGUUAUGGUGCUCAAUCUUGAAGUUAUCGCAUAUCUCUUUGAUCAUCUUGUUGUUCAACUAAGACCCAUUAUCAGGGAUAAUUUUUCUAGGAAUUCCAUAGCGACAAAUCAUCUUCUUCUUGAUAAACCAGGCGACCUCUUUCUUUGUUACAUCGGCAUAAGAAUAACUUCUACCUGAGGCUAGCAGAAAUAUACCCGAACGUAUCGCACACUCCAACAUACAACCGAGUCGCCAUCGAACUUUAUUUAUUUCUGAAGGAAAGGGAAAACAUCGAUAAAACAUGGGGGAAAGAGAUAUGUCGGGUAAGGAAGUCAGUUAUGCAAGGGGAAUGUAUUAGCACCUCAAACAUCUAUGUUACUCCAUUGGAACCAUUUUGAUUGUUCUCGCUCGAAUAGGUAUGAUAUCUAAAGAUUACUCAUAAAGAAUGGGGGAAAGGAAGGAAAUAGAUAAAGUGCUCGGUGAGGAUUGGGGCCCUCAUGCCUACGUAUCCUCAUAGUGCAAUGAGGAAUUCAGAGCUCAGUAGUUCAAACAAAUAAUGGUGGGAGGUGAAAAGAAGUGUGAUAACAGUAUGGUCUAAACCAAAGGAUAAUGUUGUUUGAACUCCAAAAAUGGGUGAAAUAUGAACCCAAGAGUAAACAGGUAUGAACCAAUAAGUGAGGGCCUACAACAUAGUGUCACUGUAUCAGAACAACCAAAGAAGAAAGGAAUUAAGUGUUUGGUUUCAUAGCAUAAACAACUCUUGAUUCAUAAAGAGAUACAAGAUGGAGCAUAAAUGUAUAAUGUAUUUGACUCAAAGAAUAGGGUAUAUCACAUGAAGUGAAUGAAGGUCGAAUAUUAAUGCAUCAAUGGAGAUGAAUGGAGUGAAGUGACCAAAGUCACAUAAAUGAAGGUUUGGUAAUAAGUGAUCGAAGAAGUAUGAUUUGAAACCGAAUGUCGGAUAUACAUCAGAAUCCAUUAGAGAAAUGAAAUUUGUACCAUAGAGGGAAUGUGGCACGAACCACAAGUGAGGGCCUACAACACUGUAUCAUUGUAUGAUUGAGCCAAAAAAAAAGGAAUUAAAUGUAUGGGGAUAAUCCAAACAACUCUAGGUACAAAUUCAGACUGUCACUAUUGUGAGACCCCAAUUUUGACCCUAAGAUACCUCAUGCAAUUUCAUCAUAAGCAUUAGCAUUGGGAUCAUACCUUAGCAUCCUCCUUACCCCUCUUUCAUUGGGUUUGCUUUGGGAGAGAUCACCAAGCACUUUGUGAUUGUAUCAUACUUGUAUUUUAUCAUUUUACUAACCAAAAUACCAAAAAUAUAUCUUUGUAUUUGCCUAACCCCUUUGUGGGUAGGGCAUGAUCUCCAUUGAUCUAUUAAGUUCAUACCUAGGGUUUGAGACCCUCAUGACAAAGAGCACAAGCAUGAAUUGAUCCAAGAAUGGUUAUUAGCAUCAUAUAUGAGUUCCAUUGAUCUCUACAUGUCAUAUUGAUCAAAUGUUCUUCAAGAGUUUGGAAGUGAUUUGCCUUGGAAACCCUAGUUUGACUGGGUAUCUUAAGUAACUUCUCCAACAAGCUAUAUCACCAAUUGAUCAAAUUUCUCAAAGGACACUUAAAAAUUCAUCAUCAUAUGCAUAUAUUAUCUACCAUGAGCCAAGAAAGUCAAAAGAAUUGAACGUUAGCAAGUUGGUUGAUGGUGGUUGGCCAGAUAAAUUCAUCUAAUCAAAAUUGGGUCUCCCUAGACCCUAUCUCAUACACUUUUCACCAUAUGAAAAUGAUUCCAAGAGAAACAUUACUCUAAAUGACAUUCCAAACAACUUUCAUGUUAAGACCCAGAGCUAGUUUUUCUUGGAAAAUCAUUUUCUAUAUUGAAACAUUAUAGGUCAUUUUGUCUAAACCCUAAUUUGAAAGUCAACUUCCCAAGGACAUAACUUGCUAAAUUUUUAUGAGAUGAAAUAUUUCCAAGUUGAAAAAUCAAAUUCAAGAUGUCUACUUCAACUUUGAUGUUUGUAGUGAGAACUAAUUCAACUUUUAUGAGCCUGUGAUAUGAGGUUACAUUAUAGGUCAUUUUUUACCUAUACCAUUGAACAGGUGAUUUUUCCAAACUUCAAAAAUGCAUAACUCUAUCAUUCUAAAUCCAAAUGACAUGAAAUUGGUGACCAUUUUGAAGGUAUUUUAAACAGAUACAACUUUGAUGAAGACACUUUUCUCAUUUAAAGCUCACAUAAAAAGUUAAGCAAGGUGGAAUAUUGAGAUAUAUGGCUUGACACUUAGAAAAAAUUUCAACAUGUUGAAAUUUCCAAACUUCCACCUCAAAAUUCUCCAUGUUCCAAGCUCCAAAUGAGAAAGUGUUGAACAUUAAACUUGUUCCCCUUGAUCCAAGCUUUCCAAAGAACCCAAGUUCAUUCAUUUUGGAUAAGUUUUGUUAGGUCUGUGCUUGGCUUUAACAGAGCUGCAUCUUUGGCAAGAAUCAAGCUUCAAAACUUCAGUUCACAUUGCCUUGCCAAUCAAGCUUCCAUUCAGAGUUCAUUUGGAUUGAUUUUGGACCUUUUUGCAUUGCAUCAUGGGCCUGCACAUGCCCAUGCACUUGUGCCAUCAACAUUGCUAAAUUUGGACAAAAUUUGAAGUGUGCAAAUAUCAUUCAUCCAUGCUAUAUAUACAUGCUCUCUGUGCUCAUUUGAAUCAGACCUUGCGCGCCAACUUUGCCCCCCAUUGAAACCCUCUCAUUCCAAAGGAAAACCUGAUAAAUUUCAACUUGAAAUUUGAGUUUGAAUCUCAACUGUUGGAGAUACAAGAACUCCAGGAUCCAAAGCCUUGCAACCUCUCUAAUCACUUCCUGCUAGCUUCUCAAGUGUGAUCAGAUCGUGUUUGGAGCAAGCAACAUCAAGAACUGCAUGGCAUUGAAGGUAAUUUUCAGAAAACUUCAUCUCUUUGAUUCUCUCUCAGUUCCACUCAAUUCUCUUGGAUCUUUGGUUGUCUAAAGUCCUACCAAUGUAGGCAAGAAGAUUGAGUUGCUUAGAGCUCAAAUCGAAGCAACUCAGUUGACACACCUCAAAACUCAACUCCUCAUAUAUUUUUAUAUAUUUAGAGUUGGACGAAAUUGAAGUCAGAUUCGUGCUCUAUGCUAUUUUUUCUUUCAGAUCAUGUCCUCUUUUUUUAUUUUGGUGAUGGUUGAAGGUGGACCAGUCCGGUGAGGUCCACCAAAGAAGAAGACCGGAGCUAUAGCUUCGGUCGUGUGUUGGAAUGUCUCCAACCAUAGGAUCCAUUUAAAAUGAUCUAAUCUCACGCGUUAGUUUUGAUUACCAUUCAUGUGGCGCAUUGACUCAAGUCCACGAUGGAAAGCGAUGAGGACCACUUGAUCUACCACCUCAAUUAAUGAGGGAGAUCAAGUGGUCCACGUUUUUUGUUAUUUUCUGAUUUUCUUCUAUUCCUUUUAUUUUCAUUAAUUCAUAUUAAUUUUAAUAUUGAUCCAAAAAAUAUGAGAGUUUCACCAAAUAUUUUCACAUGAUUUCCUCUUUCAUAUUCUGAAUUAAAAUUAUUUUUUGGAUCAUUAUUAAUAUUUUUCAUGAUUUAAUUGGUUUUGCAUUUGUUUUUAAUUCUUUAAAAAUACUUUUAAGUCUUUAAAAAUUCUGAAUUUUUUUCUCUAAGGUCCUUUGACCUUGUUUGACCUAUGAUAAAUCUCAUGGCCAUUUAUUUGGUGUUUUGAUGAGGUUUUACGAAUUUGACAAACCAUAUUGAAUUUAAAUGCCUUAUUUUAGUAUUUUUUUAAUUUGAAUAAAUGCCAAAUAAUUUUGUUGACCAAUUGUAAUGACUUGUUUGUGCUUAACUCCUUUUGUUGGGCCUUGAUCAAGGUUGAUUUGACUUUGUCAAGUUAAUAUCAUUGGAUUUAGGGGAACGAUGGAAUGUACAUUCCAUCUCCCAAAAUGAAUGGAUGAUAUUAAUUUGGUAAAAGUCCUCCUUUGAUCAAUUUGAGUUUUGAUCCAUUCCCCUCCUUCUUCAUCUCAUUCCCCUUCUUUAUGCAUUCAUCUCAUUUAGCCUAUGAUAUCUCAAAGUCCUAAAACUAGUUGAUUGAAAAAUUAACAUGAGUAUGGAUGAGAUUAGGCCACCUCUUUUGCAUAUCUCUUUUUGUGUGUGGUAUAUUUCAUGAGCAUAGUCCUUUAUACUAUAUCUCUAACAUGCAUUAACACCAAAAUUCUAUUGCCCGACCUCAAAUAAUUGUGACUUCUACAUAAGUCCAAUUACGAUUGCUUAACCUAGUGCUAAAUUUGUGACAUAAAAGGCAUAACAUUCUAGUUAGUGAGAUUGUAAGUCUCCCCUCUUUCAUGGUACUGUGUGGAAACUUGGUCUUUUUUCCUUCCUUUGGAAGAUGUCUUGGCUCAAGGAUCCAUGCUUGUGAUAAGUGGGUUGAGUGUUCUCCAAAGAAUGUCUAAAAAAUGAAAAGCAAAAGCAAAACAAUACUAACUUCUAACUCAUAUUCCUUCCUUUGGAAGAUGUCUUGGCUCAAGGAUCCAUGCUUGUGAUAAGUGGGUUGAGUGUUCUCCAAAGAAUGUCUAAAAAAUGAAAAGCAAAAGCAAAACAAUACUAACUUCUAACUCAUUAACCACUAACUUUUAAUUUCAAGCCAUUUACUUUAAUGUCAUUUAAUUCUAGCCUUUAUUCAUUUGCCAUUGUUCAUGUCAUUCUAAUUGUUUAUGUUAAUUCAAAUUUUCACUUUGUCCACUUGGACCAUAUUGUGUGAUAUAUCUUGUUUGUAUAUACUUUGCUUGUUUGUGUGGUCUUUGACCAUUAAUGUAAAUAAUAACAACAAAAAACCCUAAAAAACUUUUGUGUGGAUUGUUGGCUUGAUCUUGGACAAAUGGGCUUAGAACUUAGGCAACAUUCCUAUGCUAAAGGACUUGGCCAAUGCCAACUUAUUGAGGAACCAAGUGCUUUCAAUUUGAAACUUCAUAUGAUACAUCAUUCAAGAUCCCUUUGAGUUCAUCUGCAACAAGAUCAUUGUGAAGUUGUCAUUUUGAACCUGUGACUUGUGAAAUUCAUCUGCUACAUGGGCUACUUUAAAGAAGAUCAUGGAAUGGAUAAAGCCUGGAUGUGGCUAUCUUUAUUUGAUGCCUUUACUAUUCAAGAUAAUAUAAUUAUGCAUUUGUGUGUUGCUUGAUUUUAAAUGUCCAAGGGAAUUAUGUGUUUCUAUUGACAUUCUUGUCUAUUGGAUUGCUACCCAUUUGGUCAGAUCUUUUCAACUCUUAACUUUUAAUUUUGUUCAUAGGAUUAGUCUCUUCAUU